rnacentral:rRNA from 1 species
UCGAGCCGCUGGCGGCGUGCCUAAUACAUGCAAGUCGAGCGGACAGAUGGGAGCUUGCUCCCUGAUGUUAGCGGCGGACGGGUGAGUAACACGUGGGUAACCUGCCUGUAAGACUGGGAUAACUCCGGGAAACCGGGGCUAAUACCGGAUGCUUGUUUGAACCGCAUGGUUCAAACAUAAAAGGUGGCUUCGGCUACCACUUACAGAUGGACCCGCGGCGCAUUAGCUAGUUGGUGAGGUAAUGGCUCACCAAGGCAACGAUGCGUAGCCGACCUGAGAGGGUGAUCGGCCACACUGGGACUGAGACACGGCCCAGACUCCUACGGGAGGCAGCAGUAGGGAAUCUUCCGCAAUGGACGAAAGUCUGACGGAGCAACGCCGCGUGAGUGAUGAAGGUUUUCGGAUCGUAAAGCUCUGUUGUUAGGGAAGAACAAGUACCGUUCGAAUAGGGCGGUACCUUGACGGUACCUAACCAGAAAGCCACGGCUAACUACGUGCCAGCAGCCGCGUUAAUAA